rnacentral:rRNA from 1 species
UACGUAGGGUGCAAGCGUUGUCCGGAAUUAUUGGGCGUAAAGAGCUCGUAGGCGGCUUGUUGCGUCGACCGUGAAACCCGUGGCUCAACUGCGGGCUUGCGGUCGAUACGGGCGGGCUAGAGUUCGGUAGGGGAGACUGGAAUUCCUGGUGUAGCGGUGAAAUGCGCAGAUAUCAGGAGGAACACCGGUGGCGAAGGCGGGUCUCUGGGCCGAUACUGACGCUGAGGAGCGAAAGCGUGGGGAGCGAACAGG